rnacentral:rRNA from 1 species
UUGAACGCUGGCGGCAUGCUUUACACAUGCAAGUCGAGCGGCAGCGCGGGGGCAACCCUGGCGGCGAGCGGCGAACGGGUGAGUAACACAUCGGAACGUACCCAGUUGUGGGGGAUAGCCCGGCGAAAGCCGGAUUAAUACCGCAUACGACCUGAGGGUGAAAGGGGGGGAUCGCAAGACCUCUCGCAGUUGGAGCGGCCGAUGGCGGAUUAGCUAGUUGGUGGGGUAAAGGCUCACCAAGCCGACGAUCUGUAGCUGGUCUGAGAGGACGACCAGCCACACUGGGACUGAGACACGGCCCAGACUCCUACGGGAGGCAGCAGUGGGGAAUUUUGGACAAUGGGCGAAAGCCUGAUCCAGCAAUGCCGCGUGCAGGAAGAAGGCCUUCGGGUUGUAAACUGCUUUUGUACGGAGCGAAAAGGCUCUCUCUAAUACAGGGGGCUCAUGACGGUACCGUAAGAAUAAGCACCGGCUAACUACGU